ensembl:snRNA U6 U6 spliceosomal RNA
AUUUAAAAAAUAUAAAAAUAUAUACUAAAAUUGGAACGACACAGAGAAGUUUAGCAUGGCCCCUGCACAAGGAUGAUUUGCAAAUUCAUGAGGUGUUCCAUAUUUUA